rnacentral:misc_RNA from 1 species
GUUAUACUUGCCAUUUCUUAAAAUCUCCCCACCCCAGAAAAAAAAAACUCCCUCUUUAUUCCAAAUUUACAGUCUUUCAUCAAAAAUAAACACACCCAUCACCAAAUCUUGACCAAAAAACUCUUUUUUGAUUCCUAUAUACAGUCACAUAUCAAAAAAUAAACACACCCAUCAUGAAAUCCUGGGGAAAAAAACUCUUUUUUGUUAAUAUUUACAAUUACUGAUCAAAUAUAAACACACCCAUCAUCAA